AACGAACGCUGGCGGCGCGCCUAAUACAUGCAAGUCGAGCGAGAAGACGUAGCAAUACGUUUGUAAAGCGGCGAACGGGUGAGGAAUACAUGGGUAACCUACCCUCGAGUGGGGAAUAACUAGCCGAAAGGUUAGCUAAUACCGCGUACGCUCUUUGGACUUCGGUUCAGGGAGGAAAGCGAUACCGUGGGUAUCGCGCUCUUGGAUGGGCUCAUGUCCUAUCAGCUUGUUGGUGAGGAACGGCUCACCAAGGCUUCGACGGGUA
rnacentral:rRNA from 1 species